UACAGAGGUCUCAAGCGUUGUUCGGAUUCAUUGGGCGUAAAGGGUGCGUAGGCGGCGCGGUAAGUCGGGUGUGAAAUCUCGGAGCUUAACUCCGAAACUGCAUUUGAUACUGCCGUGCUUGAGGACUGGAGAGGAGACUGGAAUUUACGGUGUAGCGGUGAAAUGCGUAGAUAUCGUAAGGAAGACCAGUGGCGAAGGCGGGUCUCUGGACGGUUCCUGACGCUGAGGCACGAAGGCCAGGGGAGCAAACGGG
rnacentral:rRNA from 1 species